rnacentral:rRNA from 1 species
AUUGAACGCUGGCGGAAUGCUUUACACAUGCAAGUCGAACGGCAGCACGGGGGCAACCCUGGUGGCGAGUGGCGAACGGGUGAGUAAUACAUCGGAACGUGCCCAGUCGUGGGGGAUAACGUAGCGAAAGUUACGCUAAUACCGCAUACGAUCUACGGAUGAAGGCGGGGGACCGUAAGGACUCGCGCGAUUGGAGCGGCCGAUGUCAGAUUAGGUAGUUGGUGAGGUAAAGGCUCACCAAGCCGACGAUCUGUAGCUGGUCUGAGAGGACGACCAGCCACACUGGGACUGAGACACGGCCCAGACUCCUACGGGAGGCAGCAGUGGGGAAUUUUGGACAAUGGGCGCAAGCCUGAUCCAGCCAUUCCGCGUGCAGGACGAAGGCCUUCGGGUUGUAAACUGCUUUUGUACGGAACGAAAAGGCUCUGGUUAAUACCAGGAGCUCAUGACGGUACUGUAAGAAUAAGCACCGGCUAACUACGUGCCAGCCGCCGCGGUAA